rnacentral:rRNA from 1 species
UGGGCAAUCUGCCCUUCUCAUCGGAAUAAGCGUUGGAAACGACGUCUAAUGCCGAAUACGACCUCCUUUCGCAUGAUCGGAGGUGGAAAGCUCCGGCGGAGAAGGAUGAGCUCGCGGCCUAUCAGCUAGUUGGUGUGGGUAACGGCCCACCAAGGCGACGACGGGUAGCCGGCCUGAGAGGGUGACCGGCCACACUGGGACUGAGACACGGCCCAGACUCCUACGGGAGCAGCAGG